rnacentral:rRNA from 1 species
CAUGAACGCUAGCGGCAGGCUUAAUACAUGCAAGUCGUGGGGCAGCAGGGGUGUAGCAAUACAUCUGCUGGCGACCGGCAAACGGGUGCGUAACACGUACGCAACCUUCCCGUUACUGUGGCAUAGCCCAGGGAAACUUGGAUUAAUACCACAUAUUAUAUAGAGAGGGCAUCCUUUUUAUAUCAAAGCUUCGGCGGUAACGGAUGGGCGUGCGGUUGAUUAGGUAGUUGGCGGGGUAACGGCCCACCAAGCCUACGAUCAAUAGCUGAUGUGAGAGCAUGAUCAGCCACACGAGCACUGAGACACGGGCCCGACUCCUACGGGAGGCAGCAGUAAGGAAUAUUGGGCAAUGGACGAAAGUCUGACCCAGCCAUGCCGCGUGAAGGAUUAAGGUCCUCUGGAUUGUAAACUUCUUUUCUCUGGGGCGAAAACCAGCUAUUCUUAGCUAUUUGACAGUACCAGAGGAAUAAGCACCGGCUAACUCCGUGCCAGCCGCCGCCGUAAAAC